UCAACGUGAAGAAAUUCAAGCAAGCGCGGGUAAACGGCGGGAGUAACUAUGACUCUCUUAAAGUUCUCUCCAUCUUUCGAUAAAGUCAUAGUAGGGACGUUGACGUGUAAUACAUAAA
rnacentral:ncRNA from 1 species